rnacentral:lncRNA from 1 species
AAAACACUGAUUGGAAACCACAUGUUGAAAACGUAUCGUUGGAUUGGAUAAUACGGCGUACUUUUCUUUCUUGACAUUUUUAUUCGUAAUAAUGGUAUUUAUCUGGUAACAGCCUAUAAUUUCUACAUGGCAAUUUCAUCUGAUCAUGUGGCCUAAGCAGCUGAACAUUCUGCAAAAUGUCGUCUCUUUUUCCUGUACCAGCUUCAUGUUUGUCAGAAACACUUCAGAACAAUUCGGGAUUAACACCCUGGUGGAGUUUGAGCUUCUUUGUUGCUGCCCAACUUACACAUGGAUUUGACGCAGCCAGCUGAGGGCUUUAAUUCUUGUUGAUCAUGUAUGUUCGUGUAGUUGCUGUCCGAUGUGGAACGUUGUUGCAGCCUAUGCUGG